rnacentral:snRNA from 9 species
AUACUUAACUGGCCUAGGUAUACCGUGAUCAUGCAGGCUGUCCCCCAGGGUGAGGCUGCUCCAUUGCACUACGAAGUGGCUGACCCUUGCGAUUAUUUUUAUAUUUUAUGUUAUAAGUUUUACUUC